AAAUCUGACUGCUACAGAAUCUAUAUCUGUCAAUCAAUGUAAGAAUGAAUACUGAGGGGUAGAAGGAUUGCCCUUCACUCUUUUUUACACCUUAGGCUGGGUUCACCUCACGUUUUUGCCAUACUGUUUUCAAUCCGUUUUUCUAAAGAAAACCGUAUGGCAAAAAAACGGAUGGAACAGUAUGGAAAUAAGUAAGCCGUAUGCGUUUUUAAACAGUAUACUGUUUUUAAAAGUGCAUACAGUUCCGUCAGUUUUUAUAGAAAAAAAAAAACCAUAAGAUUUUGAAAAUUUUGUCCAUUUUUAAUGGGAGGGGUCUUGGGUGGGGACUUUAGGAUUCAAAUGCGCACGUGCAAAGUAAAAAUGUAUACGUUUUUCCCGUAUGGAACUGUAUACAUGUGUGUUUCCCAUUGACGUCCAUGUUAAAAAAAAACGUAUGCGGCUGCAGUACGGUUUUUAAACCGGAGACAAAAUCGUGGUCAACCAGCACCCAGUUUUCCCCUCCCCCAACCGGAUCUGGCAACCGUAUGCUGCAAUCACGGUGUGAAUGGAGUCUAACAUUAUCUUGUGACCAUGGCAGCUGUCAGGGAGCUGACAAUUUGCUGCCCUGUGUACUGAGACUCUGUGACAUGCCCCCACCCCCCAGGCUGAUUGACAAGCCGGAGCAAACACAGAGCCCUGCUUGUCCCGCCCACACUUCCACACAAGGACAAGAUAGUGUUCUCGACAGGAGAGAUGCAUCAUGCUAUCUAUACUUGGCAAGCGCUUAGAGUAAAAAAGAUGGAUGCUAGGAGGAUUCCGUGCCAGGAAUACUUCAUUUACUACAAUACGGUACUUUUAAGCCUCUUCACCGCUCCUCAAAAGACUCAGUAACGAUGACUAGUGUCUCCCAGAUCUCGGACACAAGAGCUCGGUCUGCAUAAAAAGCUAAUAACUGUUUUGAGCGCAACACAAUGAGGUGAGUACCUUGGACCAUCUUCACCCUUGUGAUUAUUUGUUAUAAGAGUAACGGAGCUAUAUAGCUCCAUCUCCGUUCUCUUAUAUUAUGACAUAUUUGCAUCUUAAUCACAUACAGAAAAGGAGACACUUUACCCCCUCAGACCCACGUCAAAAACCACUAGCACCUUGCUGAUGAGAGGCAAGGACCCUGAAAAAGCAGUUUAAAGAUAGGUAGAAACUCUUAGCUUUUUAUGCACUAUUAUUGUGCAUAUUACAUGAUACAAUGCUAUGAAAAAGAAUUAACAACCUUUCCAAUUUCUUGUAAUUUUGCAUAUUUGUCACACUUGAUUGUUUCAGAAUAAAAAUGUUUAUUAAUCAAUUCGUUAUCCAAAUUCAAUUGACAAUUAAGAUAUAUUUCACGAGCCAAACCCAAGCAUGAUUCCUGCCAGACCCGUCAAAUCUAAACAUCAUGUAAAGGGAAUCUGUCAGUUUAUUUCAUGCUUAGAGCUCAAGUGUCAAGGAGGCAUUGCCGA